rnacentral:lncRNA from 1 species
CCUAUUUCCUGUACAUCUCUCUGACACACACACACACACCUUUUCUCUACACACUCUCUCACACACACAUUCACUCUCUCUACACACACUUUCUCCAUCUCACACUCUCUAUGUACACACUUCCUGUCUGAUAAAUAACUGUGUCAGGAAUAUCACCUAUCAUGGUGGGCUACUGUCCCAUCUGUGGGAAACCCGUCUACUUUGCCGAACAGAAACCCUGGUCUUGACCCACCGUGUGUGUUCCCUGGCCCAGAAGGCAGCAGGAAUGAGGAGCAGAAACAAAGCUUUGGAGGCCACCACCAGGACCCAGAUCAGACCACAGUCAGCAGACACACCACAGUCAGGACAGUCACAAGAGGUGAUGGUGGGCGAGACCUCUGUACAGUAGAGAGGUGAUGGUGUGGGUGUCCUCUGUACAGUAGAGAGGUGAUGGUGUGGGAGUCCUCUGUACAGUAGAGAGGUGUUGGUGGGGGAGUCCUCUGUACAGUAGAGACGUGAUGGUGGGGGAGUCCUCUGUACAGUAGAGACGUGAUGGUGGGGGAGUCCUCUGUACAGUAGAGAGGUGAUGGUGGGGGAGUCCUCUGUACAGUAGAGAGGUGAUGG